UGGCAGUAGAAACCAAGAAAAGACAUUACCACACCAGCCAUGAAAACUAAACUCCAACCUAAAUAUGCAGAUCAUGUCUUAGUGACAUCAUAAAAUUGUGGUAUUUCCAUUCUUAACGUCAAAACCUCCUGAGAACUAAACAAUGAAAAAGUUCGAGGACAUGAUAUCAAUUAGUAAUGGGUAGGUCGCUAGGUGCCAAACUGCCUCCUGGCACCAAUGAAUGCAGCUACUCCAAAGGCACAAAUAAAUCUAAAGCUCUUGUGGAGAAGAAGAAAACAGGCAUGCGAUGACCCUGCAAUAUGUAUAAUGAACUUUAAAAAAGACGUUGCCUUCAAUUCCCU
rnacentral:lncRNA from 1 species